rnacentral:rRNA from 1 species
UACAGGGGGGGCAAGCGUUGUUCGGAGUUACUGGGCGUAAAGGGUCUGUAGGUGGCCAACUAAGUCAGACGUGAAAUCCCUCGGCUUAACCGGGGAACUGCGUCUGAUACUGGAUGGCUUGAGUUCGGGAGAGGGAUGCGGAAUUCCAGGUGUAGCGGUGAAAUGCGUAGAUAUCGUCAAGAACACCUAUAGCGAAGGCAGCUUACUAGGCUGUAACUGACGCUGAGGCACGAAAGUGUGGGGAUCAAACAGG